UACGUAGGGGGCUAGCGUUGUCCGGAAUCAUUGGGCGUAAAGAGCUCGUAGGCGGCUUGUCGCGUCGUCCGUGAAAACCUGCAGCUCAACUGCAGGCUUGCGGUCGAUACGGGCAGGCUGGAGUUCGGUAGGGGAGACUGGAAUUCCUGGUGUAGCGGUGAAAUGCGCAGAUAUCGUAAGGAAGACCAGUGGCGAAGGCGGGUCUCUGGACAGUUCCUGACGCUGAGGCACGAAGGCCAGGGGAGCAAACGGG
rnacentral:rRNA from 1 species